rnacentral:rRNA from 1 species
GACGAACGCUGGCGGCGUGCUUAACACAUGCAAGUCGAGCGAGAACCGGACCUUCGGGUCUGGGGAAAGCGGCGAACGGGUGAGUAACACGUAAGUAACCUACCUUUAGAUUUGGAAUAACCCCGAGAAAUCGGGGCUAAUACCGAAUGAUGCAGCGGCACCACAUGGUGAUGUUGUUAAAGUCUAUAUGACGUCUAAAGAUGGGCUUGCGUCUGAUUAGCUAGUUGGUGAGGUAACGGCUCACCAAGGCAACGAUCAGUAGCUGGUCUGAGAGGAUGAUCAGCCACACUGGAACUGAGACACGGUCCAGACUCCUACGGGAGGCAGCAGUGAGGAAUAUUGGGCAAUGCCCGAAAGGGUGACCCAGCAACGCCGCGUGGAGGAUGAAUGCCGUAAGGUUGUAAACUCCUGUUAGAGGGGAAGAAAAAUCUCGAUCAAAUCGAGAACUGACUGUACCCUCAGAGAAAGCCCCGGCUAACUACGUGCCAGCAGCCGCGGUAAAAC